CCUCUAUUUCUUGGCAUACAUGUGGUUGCUCAGUACUCAUGUGUGUAAUGUACGGAGGCAGAUUGGAACCAGUGCUAUGUCUUCGGUACCUGCCGCUUUAUAAUCAGCUGGUUCUAUCCUCAAUCACUGGGACACGU
ensembl:snoRNA